UUGUUUCAUAGGAAUAAGCAAUAUCAUCAUAGAAUACUGUGGAGCCAGGAUGUGAUUUUAGGGGAGAAAGCAUUUUUUCUUGAGUACAAACAAAAAAUGAAAUACGUUAUACAGAUAAAAUAUCAAAUGUAUUUAAAAAUUUACAUCUUGAAAAUUAAACCAAAUAAAAUCUCAAAGAAGAGGGUAAAUUACUAAUAGAUGAAAUGUAGAAUUUCAUUUUUUUCACAUUUGCUCAUUUCAUUUUCCACUGUUUAUCUUUUAUUCAUUAUCUUUCCAUUUCUACUGCAAUUUCAAUUUUCAUAGAAAAGCUCAGAUGUGAAAAAAAUGGAAACAUUAUAGUAUCGAUAUUAGAAGCUCUUGAGCUAAGCAGAUCAGGGUCUAAAUAUCAGUAGCACCAUUUUCCAACUAUGUAAUCUUGGCUUAGAGUCACAAUUCAGUAACUCCAAAUGCAUGCAAGUGAAAUCAUUUUGACAGCUAUUAGUGCUCUUCACCAAAUGUUUACAAUAUCUGCUUUCUAGGCAGAGGGUAGGAUUGCCUUGCCUUGCCACUUCAUGUUUGGAUAGGGGCAAAUGAUUAGUUCUGGUCAAUUGCUUAUGAACAGAAGUGACUUGUGUCAAUUUCAGAUCAGAACAUUUAAUUGUCUGCAAAGACUUCACAGAACACCCAUGUUUUUCUCUCAAGAUAAAUGUAAAUGUUAGCUUCUUUGUGGCCCUUCAGCCGGGAAGUGAAGAAGCCUGGUGCAGAGCCUCCACUUGACCUAUGAUAGAUAUGCUGCUGGAGAAGAAAUCAACUUCCUGGUUCCCACCCAUAUCUUGCUCUGGUUGGUCACAACCAGAAUCUUCGCAACCACAAUCAGAAUCUUCCCAUGGCUCUACCUACAUCUCCUGCUUGUCUCUGCCAUUACAACAUAAGGAACAGCAUUUCGCCAUGUCACACAGGCUGGUCUUCAACUCCUGCACUCAAGCUAUCCACAGGCCUCGACCUCCCAAAGUGCUGGGAUUACAGGCAUGAGCCACUGUGUCCAGACUGAAGUUUUUAGUCUCAUCAAACAAACUCACCCAAAUGUCCCUGGUGACAAAAAGUUUUCUGAACGGUUAAGUAAUUUGUUUCUCAAGCCUGACAAAAUAAAAAGUUUUCUGUCUCUCUGUCUCUCUCUUUUGUACUGUUUCUCUUAAGUCUUGUUAGAAUAUAGAAAUAUAGACAUUUAGAACCAAGGUCAUUGUCUUGACUGGCCCACUGACCAGAUUAGUAAUUCUUUAAGUAGAGUCCCUAGACCAGCACCACAGGCAUCAGCGGGCUUCUUAGAAAUGCACAUCCUUAGACAACACCCCAAAACUACUGAAUCGAAUAUUUUGAGGGUGGGCCCAAUAAUCUGUGUUUUGAGAAGAACCCCAGGUAAAUCUGAUGCACAGUAAUUUUUGAGAAGCACUGAAUAAACUGUAUACCAUUAGCCUAUUUUUAAAAAUCAUCUGAG
rnacentral:lncRNA from 1 species